rnacentral:rRNA from 1 species
AGUGAACGCUGGCGGUAGGCCUAACACAUGCAAGUCGAACGGCAGCACAGUAAGAGCUUGCUCUUACGGGUGGCGAGUGGCGGACGGGUGAGGAAUACAUCGGAAUCUACUUUUUCGUGGGGGAUAACGUAGGGAAACUUACGCUAAUACCGCAUACGACCUACGGGUGAAAGCAGGGGAUCUUCGGACCUUGCGCGAUUGAAUGAGCCGAUGUCGGAUUAGCUAGUUGGCGGGGUAAAGGCCCACCAAGGCGACGAUCCGUAGCUGGUCUGAGAGGAUGAUCAGCCACACUGGAACUGAGACACGGUCCAGACUCCUACGGGAGGAAGCAGUGGGGAAUAUUGGACAAUGGGAGCAAGCCUGAGCCAGCCAUACCGCGUGGGUGAAGAAGGCCUUCGGGUUGUAAAGCCCUUUUGUUGGGAAAGAAAAGCAGCAGGUUAAUACCCCGCUGUUCUGACGGUACCCAAAGAAUAAGCACCGGCUAACUUCGUG